rnacentral:rRNA from 1 species
GACGAACGCUGGCGGCGUGCUUCAUACAUGCAAGUCGAACGAGAAGCUGACUUCGGUCAGUGGAAAGUGGCGGACGGGUGAGUAAUAUGUAGGAAAUCUGCCUUUAGGAGGGGGACAACAGAGGGAAACUUCUGCUAAUACCCCAUAUGAGCGUAGCUGAAAUGCUAUUCUUGAAAACUCCGGUGCCUAAAGAUGAGCCUGCAUCUGAUUAGCUAGUUGGUAGUGUAAUGGACUACCAAGGCGACGAUCAGUAGCUGGGUUGAGAGGAUGAUCAGCCACAAUGGGAAUGAGACACGGCCCAUACUCCUACGGGAGGCAGCAGUAGGGAAUUUUGCGAAAUGGGCGAAAGCCUGACGCAGCAACGCCGCGUGAACGAUUAAGCCCAUCGGGGUGUAAAGUUCUGUCAGUGGGGACGAAACUUGACGGUACCCACAGAGGAAGCACCGGCUAACUCCGUG